CAAUCGGAAUGGCGGGUAUCACAUGUGGGCGGUGCCUUUGUCAAAUGUUAUGCCCACAUUAGGAGUUGUAGUAACGGCCAGGCACGUUCGCCGUGGAGGAAGAAGAAGGGGAGUAACCGUUGGGAAUCUAUUGGAGAGUCUUGAGGUUGGCCUUGAAGUCCACAGACUCUUUGACCUUAGAGCCCAGCAGAGCUCCCAACA